GAUUCGCACAUGUAGUUUUUCAACGAGAGAGGCGAACGUGCAGGUCUAUGCAGAAACCCAUAUUUUACCAAGGAUUUGUUUACAAACAAGGCACAAUUCGACAAGGGAUUUACAAAAGAUUAAAACUAAAAGAAGGCGCUUGAAUUACAUGAAGUUCAGCAGCUGGUGUACUAUCAGCAGCAACGAGUAGCAGCCCUAUGGUGACCCCGCUUUAGGCCCGUCAUGCUGCUAAAUCGGACCUCUGAUUAGCUCCACGCCUCUGAAAUGACAGCUGUACUGGAUACAGAUCCGUUGCACUGGAAUGAAGGUAUGGCAGUAUAUUCAGUAGUGGAAACAGUGAACUGUGCCAAUAGGAAGAGUUUGAUCCUAAGCAAGAUACUGGAGACACCAUCAACACACACUGUGCUUAAUAUAGCAACUGACAUACAGCGAUACAUACCUCUCUGUUUCUCCUCAAAUAUCACAGGUCUGUUCCCCCCGAGGGGCUUCAGGUUGGGUGUGCAGCAACAUGGCAUUCUGUUCUUCAACUUGUACUCUUCAUUUCCCUCUCCCCAUCUUUAACCUGUCCUCCUGUCUCCGCCUCCAGUCUCUGUCCUUGGCAGAGCAGUGUGUGGUAAUCCUAUUACUCUUGUGCGAAAACCAGCUGAGAGAAAGAGAGGGAGAUGGAGAGAGAGGGAUUAUCAGUUCUCUGUUAUAGUGGUGAGCAGACAAAAAGCACUUUAAUCUAUGGAACAUGACCCUAAAGACUGAGAGAAGAAUACAGGGAGGAGAGAGGAGGGGCGCUAAAGGGAAAUGAUGGGACUCCUGACAGUUGGAGCGCCAAACUUGAAAAUAAAC
ensembl:lncRNA